rnacentral:ncRNA from 1 species
GGGGCUGGCCGCAAGGCCCUGGUCCCACUAAAAGGCUGGGGAUGGUGCCC